CAGCCGCCGCGGUAAUGCGUAGGGUGCAAGCGUUAAUCGGAAUUACUGGGCGUAAAGCGUGCGCAGGCGGUUUGUUAAGACAGAUAUGAAAUCCCCGGGCUCAACCUGGGAACUGCAUUUGUGACUGGCAAGCUAGAGUGUGGCAGAGGGGGGUGGAAUUCCGCGUGUAGCAGUGAAAUGCGUAGAUAUGCGGAGGAACACCGAUGGCGAAGGCAGCCCCCUGGGCCAACACUGACGCUCAUGCACGAAAGCGUGGGGAGCAAACAGGAUUAGAUACCCGAGUAGUCCCUGUCUCUUAUAA
rnacentral:rRNA from 1 species